AGGGAGGAGAAAGUAAAAGAUUUAGGCUAGUGGACCCAAAUCAAUGAGACAUAUCCUAGUCUAAUUGGGCUUUCGACCCAUUUCACCUGUCCUAAUCUAGUUUUCGAGCCUUUGGCUCGAGUUCGUUCCACUUGUAUUAGUUUACAAAUUUAGCUUCGAGGCCCAAAUGAAUAACUAAAGAAAUAAAUAAAAAAAUACGAUAACAAUAAAUAAAUAACGACAACAAAUAAAUAAACAGAAAUGAGGCUUGGGUUUCAUCGUCGCUUCAAGAAUGGAACUUUAAUCCAUUUCCGUUCUUUUGACUCCUUGUAUCCAAUAUGCUAUGUAAUCGGCUUUGGAUUUCCUUUUGGGCUUGACCCGAUAGGCAUAGUGGGCCCAAUGGCCCAUUUAGACGCAAAGGGAAAGAACCCAUUGGGGCUCCGAAAUGGAUUACAUGCAAAGAAAGAAGAAAUAAAAUACAUUAACAUAUUCGACAAAGGUAAGAAGAAAGGAAAAGUAAAGGAAAUCAAUGCAUGCUCAACCAAAGUAGGAAACUAGAAUGGUUAAUAGGAGGAGAAAAAAAUGGUAAUUAAGACGUGAUCAACAAAGAAUAAAUAAGAAUUAACAUGUGUUUCACUAAAAGAAACAACGUAAUACGAUCCUAAUCAGCAAUCAAG
rnacentral:lncRNA from 1 species